rnacentral:lncRNA from 1 species
CUAUGUGAGAGAAAAGGUUUACUUGGGUUUAUUGUUCUGGAGGCUUUAGUCCAUAAUUGAAUGGACCCAUUUUUUGGGCCAGUGUUGAAGCAGGAGAUCAUGUCAAGAGUGUGCAAUAAAGCAAACCACUUACCUUGUGGCCUGGAAGUAAAGGAGGAAGAAGAAGAUACAGGGGCCCUACAGUCUCCUUCAAUGGCACCUUCCUCAUUUCCUAAGGACUUCUAGUAGGCUCCGUCUUCUAAAGGUUCCAUCACCUCCCAGUAGCACCACCCUGGGGACCAAGCCUUUAAAACAAAGACUUUUGAGGACACUUCCCCAAACUAUAGCAGAACAAGCACUUUCUGAAGUUCAGAGUACUUUGGGAACAAUGAAAUAAAGCCUUUUAAAUUAACGCUGUUCAGAAAAUUCAGAACAUACAGUUGUCAUCAUGUUAUUUUGUCAAACUGUCCUGGAAAAGAACGUGGAGCACCAGGAACCAAACAGGUUGAAUUCUGCAAGGUUCUACUGCAGGUUCCAGCUGCCCUUGCCCUGAAGAUAGUCCAGGUUCCGAUGGGAGAUCUCUACUGUGAAAAAUCGCCACUUUCCACCAUCAUCUCAAACACCUGGAUUGUCAGAUACUAUCAUUUCUGAAACUGCUUCUUGCUCCUUUGAGCCUGCUCUUCUGACCUGUACAAGAGGAAGUCUACUCCCCUGAGACCUCUGGAGGACCAUAAGAUGAGAGAACACAUUCUCAAAUUCAACCAGGAAGUGAUGGUACCAAGAUGGGGGACCACUUUGGCUGAACCUAAGACUUGUUCCUUUUAUCAAAGUGCUUUGAUAGGCCAUGAAUGUGUACAGCUGGCCCUCCUCAUCUACAGAUUCAACUAACUACAGGUAGUACAACCUAUGGAUGGUGGCAGAGAGGAAAACAGCCUGUUCUGCCCAUGAGAUCCUGGUGAGGGGCAGAA